CAGACCCUCACCUCGGCUGGUUUUAAUACAUGUACGGUACGCAUGACCCCGGCUACGGGCUGCCAGAUUGCCCAGUCCCAGCCUUUCUUUACGAGAGUUCUGUUUCCUUUUUAUUUUUAUUUUUUUUUUCAGUUUCUGCAUAACAAACACUUAAUUGCCAGUAAAAUGCUUUUUUCCACGUUAGCCGCUACCGUUCCCGCUCAACGGCGGCUCCUCCUUUAAAGAAUGGCAAUUAUUAAAUCUUAAAAUCUUAGCAGAAGCGGCAUCGCAGACGCACAUUUCUGGGCUUUGCCAAGCACAGAGCAUCCUUCAGAGUGAAAACCUGGCCUGCUUCCAACCACAGUGUCUUUCCUGAAGCACAUGGAGAUUAAUUUGUUGGUUUCUUCCUUAAAAGUGCUUCUUUACUGAAGGCUGGAUGUCAGAAAGAGACAUGAUUCAGGCACGAGACCGACCCCUUCCAAAAUGCUAAGGGAAUUCAUAAGGGUCACUAUCCAAAAAUGGAAAAAAAAACAAACAGGAAAAUGAAAAAAAUGCAUUAAGAAAGAAGAGAAUGUUCUGGUGUUUUGUUAAAAAGAGGGCAAUAGAUUAAGAUAACAUCAGUUAUGUUAAUUUUUCUUUACAUCUAAAAACAGGGCUCGUAUCAAUGUUGUCUGUGAUUUCUCUUUCUUAAUUGUUGGUAGAAAUAUUGCAGUUGUUAAGUAACUUCUAAUAUAGGAAAACCUCAGUUUCAGUAUGCUGAGAUUCCACCCUACUUUUCCCUUAAUUCAAAUCGUGUGGAAGAGAGAUGCACGUUUCCUUCAAAAAUGCUACAUUUCUUCACAGGUAAAACCAGAUUUAAAUUCUAACUUGGGCAGCUCUCACAGAUGAGAGCGAAUCUUUUUUUUUUCUUCUUCUACUUUGGAAUAACUUACUGUAUCAAAUAGCAUCUUCCAAUUUUGUCACAAAGCUUUUAAUAUUUCACAGAGUCCUUCCCUGCACUUUACGUUUCAGAUCCUGGAUCCCAGGGCAUAAAAAAAAAAUAAAAGAACUUCUCCCUGCAAAUCAAAACCAAGUUUUCAAAUAUUAAAUUAAAUAAGGAAAAACACACACUUAUAUUUGUGUAUGUCAAUAUCACAAGCUUAUAACAGGACAUUAUGUUAGUCCUUUUACAGUUUUGCACAGGCUACUAGCUGACGUCAGGGAUAUAUUUUGUGAAUUUGUAAUUCCACUAGAAAAUAUAAGGUCUCCAAGUGGUAUCACAAGCGCAGGAAAUAGAAAAAUCCUUGCGAAAACUAGCAAUUUUUCCUGCCCUCUUUUGUCUGGGUCUGUCCAUCCCUAGUAUCCCUUCUCAAAUUAGGCUACCAUGUGGCUAUCACGUAUCCCCUCUGUGGAUAGAAUUAUAUAUUGUGUUCAAAAUCUCUGAUUAAUCUGAUUAAGCUAGUGAGUGACUAAUCCUUUAAUCUCCUUGAGAGCACUGUUAUGUCUGCUGUGUGUCAGAUUUGUAACUAGUAAUCAGUUAAGUAAAUGCUAAAAGUUAAGCAAAAACUAUUUUGGACCCACUUCAGCAUCUGUUUUCGGUUAGUGACCUUUACAGUCGAAAUCGUAUGGAGAACAUGAGUGAAAAUCAGAAAUUGCCUGUGGUGGCAAUUCUGCUGCUGCUGCAAGUGUAGCAGUCGCCAAGGACCAACUUGCUGCUGCUCGCCUAUUCUUCGGUGAUUUAAUUAUAAGUGAACAGGAAAAAGCACCAAGACUGAAAUCUGGGACCUUGUUAACAUGGACCUGACCUGCUAAGAUCCAACCUGAGUGCUGAGACUAUUUCUGGUCCCCUUGAACUGCCAGCUUUUUUCAGUUGCAACGUGUUUGCUGGUGGGUUUCAACCCUCAUCAACAAUUCUAUAUUAGUUUGCCAGUUCUAACACUCAUCCUUUUUCCUGGGAUUUUGAAAUCUACACUGAAUGCUGAUUUAUAAGGAGCUAAGAACAUGCGCGUGGAGAGCACCCAUUGCUGAGAGGACACUUGGUAUCCAGCCAUCGUCCACAUAAGCCCACCAGUGGUGUUACAAAACCUGCCAGAGAAAGCCUACGAGGCCCAGAAACAAAACUUCAACUCAACAGAUCAUGUGCCUUCAACCUCGUUUGUGCUCCCCAAUUCAAAAAUAGGCAAGGAUUCAGGUCUGUGAGCUUGUUUCAAGGCUAGCUGGGUAUUUGGGGUCUACUUAUACAUCUAGAAAUGCCGUGAGCUUAUGUGGUAUGUGUCAGAUCACAGUCUUUUUCCUAGGAUAUUGUUCUGUCUUGGAAGAGACCCAUUUUCUGGUGUGGCGCUUCCCUGGGAGUCUUGCAAUAUCUUCCAUUAAAGUGCAGGAGCUCCAGAACCAGAAUGUCACUCACCAGGAGGGAACUCCAGGAUUUAAAAAAUGUUUUGACUCACUUCAUUUUUUGCUGUAGCCCCUUUCUUUCACGUAACCUUAACCAUAUUUCCAAGUAGCUGCUGUCUACCAUGUCAUUUGUACAUUGGAAUUGUCAUGUAUGUGGAUCUUGACUUAUCCUUUUUAUCAGAUGAAGUAAUUCUGUUCAGUACACCUUUUUUAGUACUUCUAAAAGUAAUAUAUCUAUCAAAAAUUUCUAUUUUUCAAUAAAUAUGAGGUUUAGCUUUCAUUACUUUAAAACACAAAAGUCCUUAUAGCUUGGAUGGGGAAAAAAAAAAA